AUUGAACGCUGGCGGCAUGCCUUACACAUGCAAGUCGAACGGCAGCACGGGAGCAAUCCUGGUGGCGAGUGGCGAACGGGUGAGUAAAGUAUCGGAACGUGCCCAGUCGUGGGGGAUAACGUAGCGAAAGUUACGCUAAUACCGCAUACGAUCUAUGGAUGAAAGCGGGGGAUCGCAAGACCUCGCGCGAUUGGAGCGGCCGAUAUCAGAUUAGGUAGUUGGUGGGGUAAAGGAUCACCAAGCCGACGAUCUGUAGCUGGUCUGAGAGGACGACCAGCCACACUGGGACUGAGACACGGCCCAGACUCCUACGGGAGGCAGCAGUGGGGAAUUUUGGACAAUGGGCGAAAGCCUGAUCCAGCCAUGCCGCGUGCAGGAUGAAGGCCUUCGGGUUGUAAACUGCUUUUGUACGGAACGAAAAGGUUUGGCCUAAUAAGCUGAGCUCAUGACGGUACCGUAAGAAUAAACACCGGCUAACUACGUGCCAGCCGCCGCAGUAA
rnacentral:rRNA from 1 species